CAUUUUCCCUCCCCUUUUAUCGAUACCUAGCCUAUUUUCCGGUGUGAUAUUUUUUCCAUUUUUUUUCCUCGCACUUCUCUCGAAAAAAUCGUGAUCGGAUCUCGCCGCCGAACGAUGAAAUCGCCGCAAUUCUUCUCACCAAUGUAAAUUGUCACGCAGCUCGGCGCACCACCCUCUCACGCACCCACACGCACACACGUACUCGUACUCACAUGUCUCAUACUCUGUGCUUAUAUAUGUAUAUAUAUAUAUAUAUAUUUGUCGAUCAUUACAUAUACAGUUGUGUACGUAUGCGAUAAUGCGGCUUGGUAAAAAAAAAAAAAAAAAGAAAAAAAAAACGGAUCUAUUAUAUAAUCGUAUGUAGAGCUUAUUAUAUCACGUGUGCUCGUGAUCUCUGAAGCUUAUCGCCGGUUGGAAAUUUCUUUGUCGUUAUUAUAUAGUUUAUUAUUAAAGUAUUUGUUAUAAAGUGAAAAAUCGUUUGAACUUAAUUACAAAUAUUUGUACGAUAUAUAUAUAUAUAUAUAGAUUUGUAGCAGCAGGUAAUAAUACGUGAUUGGUCUGCAAAAAUUUAUAAAAAGUGAUUAUUUUUAUAUAUUGUUAUUCGUAUAAGAGAAAGAGUAGAAGAUUAUUUCAUUUUGGAUUCAUAUAUAUAUACUUCUACUUCGUAUCAUGUGUUUCGUGUACGUAUUUUUUAAACUUUUUUAUAAAUAUUCGCAGAUUAUCACUGAAAGAUGAUCUCAAAAGCAAAACUUGAUACGUCUUCCUUGAUUCUCACAGAAAAAUAAAUUUUAAAUUAAUAACUCGUCAAUUUUAAAAAUGUUAAUAAUUCUU